AUUGAACGCUGGCGGCAGGCCUAACACAUGCAAGUCGAGCGAGCGGCGGACGGGUGAGUAAUGCCUGGGAAUUACCCAGUCGAGGGGGAUAACAGUUGGAAACGACUGCUCAUACCGCAAACGAGUGGAUUGACACGGGUGGAUUAGCUAGUUGGGGAGGUAAUGGCUCACCAAGGCGACUAUCCCUAGCUGGUCUGAGCGGAUAAUCAGCCAGAGUGGAACUGAGACACGGUCAAGACUCCUACGGGAGGCAGCAGUGGGGCAUAUUGCACAAUGGGGGAAACCCUGAUUCAGCCAUGCCGCGUGUGUGAAGAAGGCCUUCGGGUUGUAAAGCACUUUCAGCUAGGAGGCGUUACUCGCAGAAGAAGCACCGGCUAACUCCGUGCCAGCAGCCGCGGUAAUUC
rnacentral:rRNA from 1 species